CGGCCUUGCUUAACACAUGCAAGUCGAGCGGGAAAAGGCCCUUCGGGGUACUCGAGCGGCGAACGGGUGAGUAACACGUGAGGAACCUGCCCCUGGCUCCGGGAUAGCUUCGGGAAACCGGGAUUAAUACUGGAUAUGACUGCUUCCGGCAUCGGUUGCGGUGGAAAGUUUUUUCGGCUGGGGAUGGUCUCGCGGCCUAUCAGCUUGUUGGUGGGGUAAUGGCCUACCAAGGCUUCGACGGGUAGCCGGCCUGAGAGGGCGACCGGCCACACUGGGACUGAGACACGGCCCAGACUCCUACGGGAGGCAGCAGUGGGGAAUAUUGCGCAAUGGGCGGAAGCCUGACGCAGCAACGCCGCGUGGGGGAUGAAGGCCUUCGGGUUGUAAACCUCUUUCAGCAGGGGCGAAGCGAGAGUGACGGUACCUGCAGAAGAAGCGCCGGCUAACUACGUGCCAGCAGCCGCGGUAAUACGUAGGGCGCGAGCGUUGUCCGGAAUUAUUGGGCGUAAAGAGCUCGUAGGUGGCUUGCUGCGUCUGCUGUGAAAUCCUGGGGCUUAACUCCAGGCUUGCAGUGGAUACGGGCGGGCUAGAGGUAGGUAGGGGAGAAUGGAAUUCCCGGUGUAGCGGUGAAAUGCGCAGAUAUCGGGAGGAACACCGGUGGCGAAGGCGGUUCUCUGGGCCUUACCAGACACUGAGGAGCGAAAGCGUGGGGAGCGAACAGGAUUAGAUACCCUGGUAGUCCACGCCGUAAACGUUGGGCGCUAGGUGUGGGGUCCUUCCACGGAUUCCGUGCCGCAGCU
rnacentral:rRNA from 1 species